GGAGGAAUUUCAUUUAGCACCUAGAUUCAAGCUGACUGGAAGCCAGACCUUCAGGCAUCAGCUUUUAAAAGUAUGCAAAUAUAUACAGACUUCUGGGAUUGGAAGCU